rnacentral:rRNA from 1 species
UCGAGCGGCAGCGCGGGGGCAACCCUGGCGGCGAGCGGCGAACGGGUGAGUAACACAUCGGAACGUACCCUGUCGUGGGGGAUAGCCCGGCGAAAGCCGGAUUAAUACCGCAUACGACCUGAGGGUGAAAGCGGGGGAUCGCAAGACCUCGCGCGAUAGGAGCGGCCGAUGGCGGAUUAGCUAGUUGGUGAGGUAAAGGCUCACCAAGGCGACGAUCCGUAGCUGGUCUGAGAGGACGACCAGCCACACUGGAACUGAGACACGGUCCAGACUCCUACGGGAGGCAGCAGUGGGGAAUUUUGGACAAUGGGGGCAACCCUGAUCCAGCCAUUCCGCGUGAGUGAAGAAGGCCUUCGGGUUGUAAAGCUCUUUCGGCAGGAACGAAACGGUGGAGGCUAAUACCUUUCAUCAAUGACGGUACCUGAAGAAGAAGCACCGGCUAACUACGUGCCAGCAGCCGCGGUAAUACGUAGGGUGCGAGCGUUAAUCGGAAUUACUGGGCGUAAAGCGUGCGCAGGCGGUUCUAUAAGACAGGUGUGAAAUCCCCGGGCUUAACCUGGGAACUGCGUUUGUGACUGUAGGACUGGAGUGUGGCAGAGGGGGGUGGAAUUCCACGUGUAGCAGUGAAAUGCGUAGAGAUGUGGAGGAACACCGAUGGCGAAGGCAGCCCCCUGGGUUAACACUGACGCUCAUGCACGAAAGCGUGGGGAGCAAACAGGAUUAGAUACCCUGGUAGUCCACGCCCUAAACGAUGCGAACUAGGUGUUGGAGAAGGAGACUUCUUUAGUACCGUAGCUAA